rnacentral:rRNA from 1 species
AUGGUGGAUGCCUUGGCAUAGUAGGCCGAUGAAGGACGUGAGAGGCUGCGAUAGGCCUCGGGGAGCUGCCAACUGAGCGUUGAUCCGAGGGUGUCCGAAUGGGGAAACCUGGCCGUCGUUGUGGGCGGUCGCCGUUAGAUGAAUUCAUAGUCUAAUUGGUGGUUACGCGGGGAAGUGAAACAUCUCAGUACCCGUAGGAGUAGAAAACAAUUGUGAUUCCGUUAGUAGUGGCGAACGAACGUGGAUGAGGCUAAACC